rnacentral:rRNA from 1 species
AGAUUGAACGCUGGCGGUAUGCCUUACACAUGCAAGUCGAACGCGAAAGGGGGGGCAACCCCCCAAGUAGAGUGGCGAACGGGUGAGUAAUACAUCGGAACGUAUCCAGUAGCGGGGGAUAACCUCUCGAAAGAGAGGCUAAUACCGCAUACGACCUACGGGUGAAAGAGGGGGAUCGCAAGACCUCUCACUAUUGGAGCGGCCGAUGUCGGAUUAGCUAGUUGGCGGGUAAAAGCCCACCAAGGCUACGAUCCGUAGCUGGUCUGAGAGGACGACCAGCCACACUGGAACUGANACACGGUCC